GGUUGUGAGGGUCAUCUGGUUUUUACGUCUGCCAUUGGUUGUAUUCAACUGAUCUGGCUGGUUAGGACAGUGUAACCUUCCUUGUAGCCCCACGUGUGUCCCUCUCUAAGCUGUACUCUUGACAGAAGAAGGAGACCUUUCCUGAAUAAAAGAAGGUCAGUGU
rnacentral:snRNA from 1 species